rnacentral:rRNA from 1 species
UACGGAGGGAGCUAGCGUUGUUCGGAAUUACUGGGCGUAAAGCGCACGUAGGCGGCUUUUUAAGUCAGGGGUGAAAUCCCGGGGCUCAACCCCGGAACUGCCCUUGAAACUGGAGAGCUAGAAUCUUGGAGAGGCGAGUGGAAUUCCGAGUGUAGAGGUGAAAUUCGUAGAUAUUCGGAAGAACACCAGUGGCGAAGGCGGCCAACUGGUCCGGUACUGACGCUGAGGUGCGAAAGCGUGGGGAGCAAACAGG